CCCAGCUCGGGAGACAUGGCGGGCGUUAAAGCUCUCGUGGCAUUAUCCUUCAGUGGGGCUAUUGGACUGACUUUUCUUAUGCUGGGAUGUGCCUUAGAGGAUUAUGGCGUUUACUGGCCCUUAUUCGUCCUGAUUUUCCACGCCAUCUCCCCCAUCCCCCAUUUCAUUGCCAAAAGAGUCACCUAUGACUCAGAUGCAACCAGUAGUGCCUGUCGGGAACUGGCAUAUUUCUUCACUACUGGAAUUGUUGUUUCUGCCUUUGGAUUUCCUGUUAUUCUUGCUCGUGUGGCUGUGGUAAGUUUUAUUUUCUAUUGUUUUGCCCAACUGUUGCUGAGUUUACUUCAGAGGCCUGUGUCUGGGACCUCCAUUUCAUGUUCAUUAUUUAGGCUUUAUACUCAAGGCCGUGUGUUUUUAGUUUCUCUGUUCCUCUACUUUAGACCUGCCUAACAGUAGUUCGGCCAUGCCUUCAGAGUGCUUUCUUUAUUUCUCUUACAACUUUUAGCCAGACGAUAUGAUUUCUUACUUUUUCUACUUUAAGCUAUUCUCUGG
rnacentral:sRNA from 1 species